CAGCCGCCGCGGGAAUACGAGGGGGGCAAGCGUUGCUCGGAUUUAUUGGGCGUAAAGGGUGCGUAGGCGGUUUGGCAAGUCUUGUGUGAAAUCUUCGGGCUCAACCCGAAGCCUGCACGAGAAACUACCGGGCUUGAGUAUUGGAGAGGUGAGUGGAAUUUCCGGUGUAGCGGUGAAAUGCGUAGAUAUCGGAAGGAACACCUGUGGCGAAAGCGGCUCACUGGACAAUAACUGACGCUGAUGCACGAAAGCUAGGGGAGCAAACAGGAUUAGAUACCCGCGUAGUCCCUGUCUCUUAUAC
rnacentral:rRNA from 1 species